rnacentral:rRNA from 1 species
UCAGGAUGAACGCUAGCGGCAGGCCUAACACAUGCAAGUCGAGGGGUAAGGUUCAGCUUGCUGAAUACACGACCGGCGCACGGGUGAGUAACACGUUUGCAACCUUCCUCUAACUGGAGAAUAGCCCGAAGAAAUUCGGAUUAAUACUCCAUAAAGUCAAUUUAAGGCAUCUUUUAUUGAUUAAAGCUCCGGCGGUUAGAGAUGGGCAUGCGUGUCAUUAGCUAGUUGGUGAGGUAACGGCUCACCAAGGCCACGAUGACUAGGGGGUCUGAGAGGAUGAUCCCCCACACUGGUACUGAGACACGGACCAGACUCCUACGGGAGGCAGCAGUGAGGAAUAUUGGGCAAUGGACGCAAGUCUGACCCAGCCAUGCCGCGUGCAGGAUGACUGCCCUAUGGGUUGUAAACUGCUUUUGUUUGGGAAGAAACCCCCGAUCGUGAUCGGGGCUGACGGUACCAUACGAAUAAGCAUCGGCUAACUCCGUGCCAGCAGCCGCGGUAAUACGGAGGAUGCAAGCGUUAUCCGGAUUCAUUGGGUUUAAAGGGUGCGCAGGCGGAAUAUUAAGUCAGUGGUGAAAUCCUGCAGCUUAACUGUAGAACUGCCAUUGAUACUGAUAUUCUUGAAUAUAGUUGAGGUAGGCGGAAUGUGUAAUGUAGCGGUGAAAUGCUUAGAUAUUACACAGAACACCAAUUGCGAAGGCAGCUCACUAAACUAAUAUUGACGCUGAGGCACGAAAGCGUGGGUAGCAAACAGGAUUAGAUACCCUGGUAGUCCACGCUGUAAACUAUGAUCACUCGCUGUUGGCAAUACAUCGUCAGCGGCUGAGCGAAAGCAUUAAGUGAUCCACCUGGGGAGUACGG